rnacentral:tRNA from 1 species
GCCUGGAUGGUGGAAUUGGUAGACACGCAGGACUUAAAAUCCUGUUCCCUCGGGAGUGAGGGUUCGAUUCCCUCUCCAGGCACCA